CCCGCUCAGAAACUUAAAGGAAGUUGACGGGGCCCGGCACAAGCGGUGGAGCAUGUGGUUUAAUUCGAUGAUACGCGAGGAACCUUACCUGGGCUCAAAUGUAUGUUGACGUAUUCUGAAAAGGGAUACUUCUUCGGACAAUAUACAAGGUGCUGCAUGGUUGUCGUCAGCUCGUGCCGUGAGGUGUCGGGUUAAGUCCCAUAACGAGCGCAACCCUACCUUUAGUUGCCAUCAGGUAAUGCUGGGGACUCUAAAGGAACUGCCUACGCAAGUAGUGAGGAAGGCGGGGAUGACGUCAAAUCAGCACGGCCCUUACGUCCAGGGCUACACACGUGCUACAAUGGCCGAUACAGAGGGCAGCUACCUGGUGACAGGAUGCAAAUCUCCAAAGCCGGUCUCAGUUCGGAUCGGAGUCUGCAACCCGACUCCGUGAAGUUGGAUUCGCUAGUAAUCGCGCAUCAGCCAUGGCGCGGUGAAUACGUUCCCGGGCCUU
rnacentral:rRNA from 1 species